ACGACUAACGGCUGAGCUUCCUAUCUAUUCAUUUGCGUCCGACCUAGGUUCUUUCAUGUGAACGACAACCUAGCCAGCUCUGGUUAGAGAGAAAGAACUAUCCUACUACCUUCGAGUAGUUCUUGUGCGCGCUACGGAUGGAUCAUGUCGUCCGUGUCCGACAAAGUAGUGAAAAGAAAAAAAAACCCUCCAACCCGAACGAGCUAGGCAAACCGGAGGGUUGAGAGGAACUCCGGUUAAGCGCGCUACAAACAUAUGUCCUUAAUUCGUCCAUGGGCAGAAGAAGUCUAGUGGCUUUUUCGGCGGAAUAACUUCAUUCUUGGGAAAGGAUAAUAGGAACUAUGGGCGCCAAGUAAGACUCUGUAGGCGGAGUUUGACGCCCCUGUUUGAGCGUCCUCUUCUACACAAAGGACGUGGCAGGCUAUGUUAGCGAUCAAGGUCGAUUUAUGUGUUCUAAGUAAAACAGAUACUAGCCUAAAGGCCUGCCAUUGAUACAGAUUUGUGAAGUGCACUUAGGAAUAAUUUCGAAAGAUAAAUCAAAACAUCUACCCGAAGUAUAUAAACGGCUUGAAUCAUUAAGGGUCUGGCGCGUGUGUAGUUGCAUACAUACUCGACGAAUUUCUGUUCCUCACCUCGUGUCUAAAAAGUUGUGUUUGUUGUUACUGAUAAAAUAAAGUGUGUGGAACGAAUCGGUGCAACG